CCUUCGAUUGUGUAUAAGAGACAGGUGGUGCAUGGCCGCCGUCAGUUCGUACCGUAAGGCGUUCUGUUAAGUCAGAUAACGAACGAGACCCUCAUUGCCAUUUGCUAGGCUCUUCUCAGGAAGGGUUGCACUAUGGCGAUACCGCCACUGCUGAAGUGGAGGAAGGAGGGGGCAACGGUAGGUCAGUAUGCCCCGAAUCUCCCGGGCUACACGCGCGCUACAAAGGGCAGGACAAUGGGCUUCGACGCCGAAAGGCGAAGGCAAUCCCGAAACCUGCUCGUACUUCGGAUUGAGGGCUGCAAUUCGCCCUCAUGAAGCUGGAAUCCGUAGUAAUCGCGGGUCAACAUCCCGCGGUGAAUAUGCCCCUGCUCCUUGCACACACCGCCCGUCAAACCACCUUAGUUGGGUCUGGACGAGGGCUCGCCUUCUGGCGCGCUCGAAUCUGGGUUCAGCGAGGAGGGUUAAGUCGUAACAAGGUAUCC
rnacentral:rRNA from 1 species